AACAUCCACAACAAGACAGUCGCCCCGCCUUCUUAAAUUUUCCCGAGAAAACCGGAGAAUAGAAAACUGAAAGAAAAUUUCCAGAGGGAAGAAACUAGAAAAAGAAAGAUGCAGAGAUAUACGGUUGUGAGCAGCAAGGCAGAAGACGAUCUCCUUAGAGGAAGCACUGGAUUCUUCUCUUCUUGCUAUCUUUCCCCUUGUCCGUUUGAAAUUUCUUCUCCUUUUCCUGCUCCAUCUUAGGGUUUCUCUGCACCAUAUUCUUAUAUAUGUGUUGUAUAUUCGUCUUUUUUUUUUUGGUGCAUAUAUGUUAUUGCUUUGGAUUGUAAAGAUUUGAUCUUUGCAAUUAGUUACUGUUUGUUUGUGGAUUUGUGAUUCAUGUUGUUUUGUUAAAUGUAUGUGAGAUGAGAAUUUAAAAUUUGUGGUUAAAGAUUAAAUUGCGUAGACAUUUGAUGUCUGAAUUCUACACCUGCGUGUUUGGUAGAUAAAUUAAUUUUUGAAAUGAAAAAAAGAUGUUUUUUAAAAAAUAAAUAAAUCAUAUAUGUAUUUUUUAAUUUUUAUUUUUUAUUAACAGAAAGAAAAGGAGGCUAAAUACUGGAUACCCCAAAUUGUCUUAUUUCAUGUUUUGAAAUGGGACUAUUGCCUUAUAACUACAGAAAUAUGACCAUGUUAUUCUACUAUUUUUCUUUGGUUAGAAGAACCAAUUGGGUCUUAUUGUAAUGCAUUUUGACUCAACUGUUUGCAUUCUGAAAUAAUGUAUCACCUCCUGAUUUGGGCUUAUCUGAAACCUUGUCAGUUCUGUCCUCAAAUGAUCUUAAUAGUUGCUUUAUUCUUCUGGGUGGAAGAAACAUUUUGGAGUUCGUAUUUCUUUUGUUGCAAUGCUAGGUUGGAGAACAGAAGAUAGAGAUGAUUAUGAUGCCCAGCUUGAACAAGAAAAUUUUUUUUUUUUUUUGGCCUUUUAUAAACCCAAAUGUAAAUGAGUAUAUUUGAACUUCUGAAAGAAAUAGUAGUUUUAUUCCUUUGGUACAUUGCAGGCAGAUAAUCAAAACCUGACCCGGAAUUUACAAAAUUCAAAUCCUUAAAUAACUGAGUACUUUUUUGUUUCCUUUGACUUACCUUUUUCUUUGCCCCCAUUUUAAUACAAUGAUUAAACAUGUUAUCGGCAAAGCUAGUAUAUUCUCUUGAGGGUUGUGCUCAAUUUCUUCUGUGGCAUUAUCAAUACGGAAUAGUAACUCUCUUGAGGGCUAUGCUCAAUUUAUCAUCUUCAUUUCUUGUAUUAAUAUUCUGACUUAAUCUUAACAUGAAAACUAGAAUCUUCUGCAGUGUUGUGGCCAUUGCAUGUCUAUCAGCAGAAGUAUCCAUCCACUGAACUAUGUCCUCCUCUGUCUUUUCACUGUAUCACUGAGUUGGUGUAAGCUGCACUAAUACCGAGGGAACCAUUGUGCUUGAAGCAUUAGUUUUAACCUCCACUGUGGUUACAUCCUUGACUGCUUAGACCUUCUGGGCUUCGAAGAAGGGAAAGGACUUCUCCUUCCUGGGGCCAAAUCUUUUUCACCGCUCUCAUUAUCCUCCUCCUAACCAGUUUAUCCAGAGGUGUUCAUCCCACUUGGGUCUACAUCUAGUGCUGUUCCUGGUGCAAUUGGUGCUAUUAUUUUUUCAAGAUAUAUUGUAUAUGACACUGACAAAUUGAUCAAGCGUUUCUCAUAUGACGAGCACGUCUGGGCUGAAAUCACUCUUUUAUCUGCAUAUUUUUAACCUGUUUCUUACCAUACUGCGGAUGCUGAGGCAGGGGACAAUUAGUUUACCUUAUCGGCUUUACUCUCCUGAUUCUGGUGUGUUUAGUCUGAAAACACAAGUUAUCUGAAAAACUAAUACUGGAGAUCUUGUUGAUAGAUAGCUAUAUAUAUUCUCCCUGUAUUCUUAUGUUACAAGCUGUCGCAAAAUGAAAUUUAUCAAUUGUACUUUUGCC